GAUCUUACUCUUUUCAUGGGCGAGAGUCGUGGCCGGUGCUAUUCGAGAUAGCACGAAAGGCUCAUGUUGUAAGCGGCACAAUCACGAAUAUGCUACUGUAGGUAGCCUCUGUGAUUCGUGAGCCGUGUUUUCAUGAAAUUUUAAAACCAGGAGCCCGGUUGUCUGUACAUUUUGCCAUCCGAACGAGGUUAGAGGCAAGCGCUGUUUACAAGGUUGUGUCUGUACUUUGGGGGGGUGAUAAUAUCUGAGCUUUUUUUUUUUUUAAUAUAAAAUGGUCCGAUAAUUCUAUGAGUGGAGUAAGUGUAUUACGAGAGGUCGUGUCGAAAUUGGGAUGCAAUGGGCAGUGUCACAGAUGCAUUUAUGUGCUGUUUUAAUUGGACUGGUUCUGUUCUUUUUUUUUUAUUUAUUUCUUUUUUUAUGAAAUAUGCUUUUAGAUUUGUGGUUUGCAGAGUAACGCAGCCAUCAUUUCUUUGAUA